rnacentral:ncRNA from 1 species
ACGAAAGCAUUGAAGAGAAGUAGUAUGCUUGAAAAGGUCUGACAGCGAGCCGUGAUUGGUGAAAGACGGUAAGAUACUUCUUGCAGAACGUGUCUUGGAGUGAAUAUAUGAAGCAAUGAAUAUAUUCCGCAGCCAGCGUUAUCGGUAAGUGCCCUAUGCAGGGAAGUAAGGUGGUACCGCGAUCCAUUCGUCCUUUAU